rnacentral:rRNA from 1 species
UUUCGCAAUGCCCGAAAGGGUGACGAAGCGACGCCGCGUGUGGGAAGAAGGCCUUCGGGUUGUAAACCACUGUCGGGAGUUAGGAAAUGCAGGUGCGUUAAUAGCGCACUUGCUUGACUAAGGCUCCAGAGGAAGCCACGGCUAACUCUGUGCCAGCAGCCGCGGUAAUACAGAGGCGGCAAGCGUUGUUCGGAAUUAUUGGGCGUAAAGAGCACGUAGGCGGCCUUGCAAGUCAGUUGUGAAAGCCUUCCGCUUAACGGAAGAACGGCAUCUGAUACUACAGGGCUUGAGUACGGGAGGGGAGAGUGGAACUUCUGGUGGAGCGGUGAAAUGCGUAGAUAUCAGAAGGAACGCCGGCGGCGAAAGCGACUCUCUGGUCCGAAACUGACGCUGAGUGUGCGAAAGCUAGGGGAGCAAACUGGAUUAGAUACCCCGGUAGUCCUAGCCGUAAACGAUGGGCACUAAGUAGAGGGGUUUU